GAACUGCGAUAAGUAAUGUGAAUUGCAGAAUUCAGUGAAUCAUCGAGUCUUUGAACGCACAUUGCGCCCCCUGGCAUUCCGGGGGGCAUGCCUGUCCGAGCGUCAUUGCUGCCCUUCAAGCCCGGCUUGUGUGUUGGGUCGUCGUCCCCUCCGGGGGACGGGCCCGAAAGGCAGCGGCGGCACUGCGUCCGGUCCUCGAGCGUAUGGGGCUUUGUCACCCGCUCGAUAAGGACCGGCCGGGCGCCAGCCGGCGUCUCCAACCUUUUUUUCUCAGGUUGACCUCGGAUCAGGUAGGGAUACCCGCUGAACUUAAG
rnacentral:misc_RNA from 1 species